rnacentral:rRNA from 1 species
GAUGAACGCUGGCGGCGUGCUUAACACAUGCAAGUCGAACGAUGAAGCCCAGCUUGCUGGGUGGAUUAGUGGCGAACGGGUGAGUAACACGUGAGUAACCUGCCCUUGACUCUGGGAUAAGCCUGGGAAACUGGGUCUAAUACUGGAUAUGACUUCUCAUCGCAUGGUGGGGGGUGGAAAGAUUUAUUGGUCUUGGAUGGACUCGCGGCCUAUCAGCUUGUUGGUGAGGUAAUGGCUCACCAAGGCGACGACGGGUAGCCGGCCUGAGAGGGUGACCGGCCACACUGGGACUGAGACACGGCCCAGACUCCUACGGGAGGCAGCAGUGGGGAAUAUUGCACAAUGGGCGCAAGUCUGAUGCAGCGACGCCGCGUGAGGGAUGACGGCCUUCGGGUUGUAAACCUCUUUCAGUAGGGAAGAAGCGAGAGUGACGGUACCUGCAGAAGAAGCGCCGGCUAACUACGUG